rnacentral:rRNA from 1 species
CGGCAGCCCGAGUGGUGAUCACUAUUAUUGGGUCUAAAGGGUCCGUAGCCGGUUUGAUCAGUCUUUUGGGAAAUCUGACAGCUUAACUGUUAGGCUUCCAAAGGAUACUGUCAGACUUGGGACCGGGAGAGGUAAGAGGUACUACAGGGGUAGGAGUGAAAUCUUGUAAUCCCUGUGGGACCACUAGUGGCGAAGGCGUCUUACCAGAACGGGUCCGACGGUGAGGGACGAAAGCUGGGGGCACGAACCGGAUUAGAUACCCGAGUAGUCC